rnacentral:lncRNA from 1 species
UGGCGCAAUGCAGGUGGGUGAUUUAAAAAUUUCCUGAAAUAUCAUCUCUUCAUUUUGUAUUGAAAUUGAGAAAUUGAGAAAAGAAAUUUCAGCUAGACUUCCGAUUUGCACUUCAAGGGAGCCAAGAAAUCAACAGAAAUUUACAGGUCACAGUUGACAGGUUAACCUUUGACCCUCGAGGUGUGAGCGUGUAAUGCCAGCAGCCUAAUUCGAUGAACCCCUUGCUGAUCUAAUGGAAAACUUUGUAUAUUAUGGCGUUUUGAAAUAACAUUACUUGAAGGAUGUAAUCAUGACAACAUUCAAAGCUGAAGGAAGCCAUUGCUUUUAUUAUAGGAGAAAAUCAGAGCGAGAGAGGAUCAUGGAGCAAGGAGUGAGCGAUGUGUGGGUAGCAUCACUCUCAAGAAAGCAGAAUCUUAUUAAAAAACAAGCAUAAGAGAAGUUCUAUCUAUCAAGUUCUAGUGAGGACUGGAGUGAUAGCAGCUCUGACAGUGAUGAGGAACAAGAACAAGGGGUGGAGAAAACAGCAGGUGUUUUGAGGUCAUUGCAGCGUGGUUGGUCUCCAGCCUGUGGGUUCAUCGUCUGGCAUCCCUGCUCUGAUAGAAUUGGAGAAAGUCUUGUUGCCCGGUGUAGGUGCAGUAAUGGCUUCUUACGUUAAGGCAAAAAUCUCUCAUCAUGAUGAGAUCAGAUUGAUCAGCUGUGGAAUCUCCAAACUUGAGGAUGCAGACCUGUUACAUUAUGACUAACAGCAGAUAUCAUCAUAUGGAAGUUGUGCAUAUGUACAAGAACCAGAUCUACAGCAUGGUUUAGGAGCAAGCCCUUGCCUCCAACAAGGAGAGAAGCAAGAGGGGGAUAAGAUCCUUCUGGACUUGUGAGAGAUGAUUGGCAAGGAGGAGAGGAAGACACUUACACAGAUGCCAGGUCUUGCCGCUAUCACUGAGGAGGAACAGUUUGCCAGAUUGCAUGCAACAUCCUCAUUGGAAUCUCAAGCAGUGAUUCACAAAGGCAAGGAAAGGACUCAGUCUUCUCAGGUUCAGUUCCUUGUGUCUGCCUUCAUGUUGGAGGUCUGUAUGCAGUUGUACAUGUAUAUGUAUUGAUAAACAGUAGAGCGCUACUGUAACAGACAUGAUGGAGAUGCUCACAAAAUGUUAAAUAUAUACUGGCAUUCCAAAAAGCGAUUUUUAGUCCCUGAUGCACCUGUUCCUAGCCAAUUCAUACCUGUGGUAAUCUUUCUCAAAAGGAUAAAUGAGGAUUUGGGGGCCAGUAUUUCAAACUUGCACGCAACAAUUUUAGUUAAAAAGAAAGAACACAAAAAAGUUGCCCUUGUGAGCAUGCACAGGGAAGUUGGUCUGCAUGAGCAUCUGAUCAUAUAUGUACGUGUACCCACACAGGAUACAGACCACGACGCAUGUUGGCCGUUGUUCCUUCAUGAGUAAAAUUUCCGUCCACUUUUUAAGUUAUCAUCAUCAUCAGCCCUAAAUAAAUUUGUUUUACUGAGAAUGCACUUUUAAUGCUUGGUAAAAAUGUACAGAAAAUUUGGGAACGUUUAACUCCAAAUUUUGUGAAAAAAUGGAUUUCAUUCUGCUCCUCGAAUCGUACUCAAAGAUCAUUCCAGGCAAAUUUCAUUCAAAAUACUGUAUGGAUAUGUAGUAGUUUCAAUUCAAAUAUCUUAUUUUGGCAACUUCCAACUCGUGCUAGCUAAGACAUUAUAUCAGUACACUCAACCCCCCCAAAAAAACAUGUGCAAAAACAUCUCAAAAUUCAUACAUUCUUGGGAUGUGAUUUAAAACUAUGUUGUUUAUGGCCUUUUUAAAGCCUAAUGAUCACAAUUAAGACCCAUAUCAUCCAGUUUUUUAUUACAUAUUCUACCAAGUAGAAAUUGUGAGCAACAAUAUAACAUUUGUGGAAAAUACAAGAAAAACAAAAUAGCAGUUGCCACUGAUUCAGACACCACUUGGUGUUUUUUUGUUAGAACAGGCUCUAGUUGGAAGAGGAAAAUGCCGAGAUAUGAUGGUUUUGCACUGACACAAUUCAUAAGUAAUCGAGAUGCUUAAGUUCAAAAACUGCAUUCAUAAAUUUACACUGUAAAUGUUAGGGUAGACAUAAUACUUUGGAACUAAAUUAUAUGCUUUUAAAAACUGCAAUGGUGCAUUGCACGUCACAUCUCUCCUUUUCUUGUUCAGGCAUCCAGAAUACCAGUACUGUACCCCCCCUGCAUGUUUAAGCCCACUAUAAAGUGCCCAUUCUCAUUUUAACAAGAUUUUUCUUUUCCUCAUUUUUUGGAAAAAGUUCUGUGUGCCGAUGUAUUUUCCAAGUGUAGAUGCUUAGAGCAGUGGAAAAAAAUAUUUUUAGUUAUCACAAAACUAUUUAGUUUAUUUAAAAAAAUUAGAAAUUGUCAGUGAUUGUAUGCAACAAAAUGUCCAUGUGUUAUUACAGCUAUUUGAUUUAUACAUGCUCUUGCAUUUGAAAUAAAUGUUAAUUUAAGUCAACAGAA